GCACCCAUAGCUCAAUUGGAUAGAGCAUCGGGCUUCGGACCCGGGGGUUGGGGGUUCAAAUCCUCCUGGGUGCA
rnacentral:tRNA from 1 species